AAUGGGCGAAAGCCUGACGCAGCAAUACCGUGUGAGGGAAGACGCAUCUUGGUGUGUAAACCUCUGUCAGAAGGGACGAAAAAUGACGGUACCUUCAAAGAAGCACCGGCUAACUCUGUGCCAGCAGCCGCGGUAAUACAGAGGGUGCGAGCGUUGUCCGGAUUUAUUGGGCGUAAAGCGUUUGUAGGCGGCUAUUCAAGUCUGGAGUGAAAGAAUGAGGCUCAACUUCAUCAACGCUUCGGAAACUGUUUAGCUAGAGAAUGUUAGGGGUAAGUGGAAUUACUGGUGUAGCGGUGAAAUGCGUAGAUAUCAGUAGGAACACCAGAGGCGAAGGCGACUUACUGGGACAUUUCUGACGCUGAGAAACGAAAGCUAGGGGAGCGAAAGGGAUU
rnacentral:rRNA from 1 species